AGCCAUUUCCAUUCCACUAAUAAUAAAUUUAACCCUUUAUAACAGGAGGAAACUAAAAAAUCCAAACAAAAUACAAGAAAUACGCCAUUUUAUCACCAUGUAAAAUGUUGUUUACGAGUCCUUCAAAACAUUCCGUACAAAUCUCGCGUGGUUUAGCAACAUGGACGUGACAGGGGGGGUAGAGACUUGAAAAAUGGAAGGAAAGCCCACACAGUAUGGUAAAACCAACAAUCAACAUUUAAUUUGUAUGACUUUUUCAUAUUAAUAAAUAAUAAUAUGUAUAUAUUUGUCGCUACAAGAAAUAAAACAAACAUUUGUAUGAUUGUAUUUAGCUUUUAGUCUAUUUCACGCAGCCUUCUUCUAUCUUCGUGAAAUAAUUCACCCCCUCCUGUCACGUCCCUGUUACUUUCUCACGCGAUAUUUGUACGGAAUGUUUUGAAAGACUCGUGAGCAAAAUUUUACAUGGUGAUAAAAUGGCGUAUUUCUUAUAUUUUGUUUAGAUUUUUUAGUUUCCUCCUGUUAUAAAGGGUUGAAUUUAUUAUUAGUGGAAUGGAAAUGGCUUGGAUGGAAGAGUAAUAAGGCUGAAUUGUUAACAAGCGACAUGGGAUGACAAAAUGGC
rnacentral:lncRNA from 1 species